AGUGAACGCUGGCGGUAGGCCUAACACAUGCAAGUCGAACGGCAGCACAGUAAGAGCUUGCUCUUACGGGUGGCGAGUGGCGGACGGGUGAGGAAUACAUCGGAAUCUACUUUUUCGUGGGGGAUAACGUAGGGAAACUUACGCUAAUACCGCAUACGACCUACGGGUGAAAGCAGGGGAUCUUCGGCCCUUGCGCGAUUGAAUGAGCCGAUGUCGGAUUAGCGAGUUGGCGGGGUAAAGGCCCACCAAGGCGACGCUCCGUAGCUGGUCUGAGAGGAUGAUCAGCCACACUGGAACUGAGACACGGUCCAGACUCCUACGGGAGGCAGCAGUGGGGAAUAUUGGACAAUGGGCGCAAGCCUGAUCCAGCCAUGCCGCGUGGGUGAAGAAGGCCUUCGGGUUGUAAAGCCCUUUUGUUGGGAAAGAAAAGCAGCAGGUUAAUACCCCGCUGUUCUGACGGUACCCAAAGAAUAAGCACCGGCUAACUUCGUG
rnacentral:rRNA from 1 species